CUCCCAUGAGACUAGCAAGAGGAAAAAAGGCAACUCACACUUUAGUUUUCUGUUCAGGUUGCAAAUUGCACAAGUUACAGUCGCAGUGUGGGGUAGGAGUGUUAUCAUCAGCUUCACUUCACCUUAUCAGGUCGGUGUCACGUGGGUGCCGCAUCAUCUCAUCUCAUCGCAGGAGAAAAGGGGCAGAGAACACGAAUUGGUGGUCCCAUGCCAAAUGGUCAGCCAUGAGGAAAACAAACAGGUUCUCUUGCGAUGGACAACUUGUGCCUUGUGCUGUUGUAGGUUGUGGUGCAUUUUACAAUCAAGAGCCGAUAGCAAAUCAUUAUCAGCAGUCGUCUGCCAUUUGCAUCAGCCCCCAUUCUUUGUGUUACAUUCAUUGUGCUAUGAGCUUUGACCAAGGUGUAAUCACAGGUGCCCGCUGAAUGGUUCAGAAUCUGCAGCUCUGAGAUGCGUUGCCCUGGUGUAGGGAUUAUUGGGAGCUGAAGCAAGCUCAGGCAGCACUCACUUCCAAGCUGCCCCCGUUGCCUAAACACAGUAAUAAAUCUCACUGGUAGAGGUUUUCUCUUCUCCUAAAUGAAGAGGAGAAUAAGUCUCGAAUUUUACAGUGGGUGGGACUUGAACUGAAGGAAUUUCACUAGAGAACCUGUUAUCUAUUUUCCAGUUGCCUCCUUUUGACUCUGCCCCCAUUCCUUGUGUGCUCCCUUCUCUCCCCAACCCCCUGCAUACACAUUGGUGGGUUUGACCCCCUCUGUUAGUUUUACUUGUUUUCUGUGGAGCCCCUGCUCACAUAAGAAUAUAAACUAUACUUUUACGACUUCUCUCUUAAUAACCUCUCUAUCUUUAGUCUACUUAAUUUUUCAGGUUCCAUUCAGAGAACUGUAGGGAAUAAAGGAGCAUUUUC